rnacentral:rRNA from 1 species
CCAAAGAGGGGGACCUUCGGGCCUCUUGCCAUCGGAUGUGCCCAGAUGGGAUUAGCUAGUAGGUGGGGUAACGGCUCACCUAGGCGACGAUCCCUAGCUGGUCUGAGAGGAUGACCAGCCACACUGGAACUGAGACACGGUCCAGACUCCUACGGGAGGCAGCAGUGGGGAAUAUUGCACAAUGGGCGCAAGCCUGAUGCAGCCAUGCCGCGUGUAUGAAGAAGGCCUUAGGGUUGUAAAGUACUUUCAGCGGGGAGGAAGGGAGUAAAGUUAAUACCUUUGCUCAUUGACGUUACCCGCAGAAGAAGCACCGGCUAACUCCGUGCCAGCAGCCGCGGUAAUACGGAGGGUGCAAGCGUUAAUCGGAAUUACUGGGCGUAAAGCGCACGCAGGCGGUUUGUUAAGUCAGAUGUGAAAUCCCCGGGCUCAACCUGGGAACUGCAUCUGAUACUGGCAAGCUUGAGUCUCGUAGAGGGGGGUAGAAUUCCAGGUGUAGCGGUGAAAUGCGUAGAGAUCUGGAGGAAUACCGGUGGCGAAG